AGUAAAUAUUUCCUUAACAUUGAUUAAAAGUUAUAAGAGAAUUAAUCAUUUUUUCUCAUAUUAUAAGUUAUAAUAAGGGAUAAUAACUAAGGAAAUAUUUAAUAGAAACCAGCUCAUAUGAGAAGUUACUUGUAAGUUAGUUUUGUCUUAUUUCAAGUGUUUUAAGAUAUUUACUCUAGAAACUAGACCAAAGAAAUACUUGGUAAGAUUUUUCUUUGUAUCAGACUAAGCUCAAGAAUAAUAAUUUCUAAAAUUUAAAAAACAUAACACUGUAAUCACAACAAUAAUAAAAACCUGGUAUGUUUUUAUUUUUGUUUUAGUGGACAUCUGGUUGUGUUUCUCCUGCAGCUUUCUCUGCUGCGUCGUCGUUUUCUUUAAUAAGUAGCUCAGACUUUGAACCACGGCGACAAGCAAUGCAGCUGUUAAUAUUUGUCCAAAUCUGUCCCUGUACAGUGAAAACUCCAUAUGCGGCAAUAAAAUUACACAAUUCACUGAUAACACCAGAGUAUUGAAGACAAAGAGAAGCAGUAAAAGAGAUUACAUAAUGGAAACACAAAGGUUUAAAGUCUCUGAUCGUGAAGAUUCGAUUGUUUAUGAUGUGCGAUAAAACUCAACAAUGAGUUACUAAGCUGUGCAUUUUUGAAAAUAACUAAAGUUAAACACAACUCAUCUUUUGCUUUGCAGGUCUAGAUAUGAAGAAUGUUUUAGUUGAGUAGAGAGGAUUACUGCAAAAGGUUGUUGCUAAUGUUAUAAACUCAUGAUAAGUUGGCAUUUACUGUGCAUUAAGUCUAUUAGAAACUCCAUUCAGAAAUCUGAUUUUUCCAAGCUGACACAAAGACAGCUUCUAAGACAGCUUGGUAAAAACAGAGUAAAAAUCAACUUUCCCUUUAAUGUUUAUUAGCUUUUAAUGAGAAAAGCAGCAGAAACGUCUUUAUUAUUGGCAUAAACCUUUUGGUUUUAUGUGUUUAUGCUACACUGUAAAAAGAUAAAAUAAACAAAUAAAUAAAUUGUGUAAUUUAUGUUCAAAUACUGUGCAACUGUGGUUACCAGAGUUUUACUAAAAAUGGACGUAGUGUAACAUUUUUCACAUAUUUAUAUAAUUUUUAUGUUUUGGCAGCCAUCACUUUAACAGCUCAGAACUGUAAAAAAUACUUGAAAUUUAUUCUUUUUUUGGAGUUAUGGCAUCUCAAUGUAUUUUCUACAGUAAUAAUGAUUUUGAUUUUACAAUCUGUAACUAUUGGUACAUUAAAAAAAAAUAUUUGUCUGCAUUUUGA